rnacentral:siRNA from 1 species
CGCGGAUUACGGUGGCGGCCU